GUUAAUGUGGUUGAAAUUUACUAAGGAAUACUAAUGUAACUGAGAUGAAGAUAUGAAACACAUGAACAAGUCAAAUAAAGUUAGUGAUUGGUUGUCAUUAUCCAUUGAUAGAAAUAUGUGGAAAGUGAGAAAAUUUAGUGGAAGGAUCCGGUUUAUUUUUGUUGAUUACUUGGAAAUGAAGGAUUUGAGAAAGAUAAUUUGACCAUAUUAAUUACGAACUUGUCCAUCUCCCAAUUUUGACAUCUUUGUUUCUUUGACUGUAAUUUGAUCAUCAUUAAAGAUUGGAAUUGAACGCAUACUGCUAUUUUGCCAUAUGUCGUUUUGCUAACAAUGAAUAUAAUGUGCGUGUUGUUCAUACUUUUCAGUGGAAUUUUCUCAUCAUUGAUAAAAAAGUUGUGUAUACUCAUUAAACAAAUUGUUGUAGUUGUCCGAUCAGUGUGAUUGCUCUGUCUAGGUAGCCAUAUGCAAUUGGGAGCACAUAAUUUGUAGAGCCAUGGGAGCACUAGAUCAUUUCUCUAAUUUAAAUUUCAAUUUACUCAGUUCAUAAUUUCUGUGUUCAGAUAUCCCAAAUACGAAAAGCAUUAGUUAAUGCAUACAAGAAAGUAGCAAGAACGUAGGAGGAAAAAGUGCGCAAAAGAUGCAGGUCUUGAUACAAAUGCAAGUCUUGAUGAAGAAUUAGUAUAUAGCACAAGCACAUUCAUGCAUUCACACUUGCAUGCUGUAGCACUAACAAUGCAUGGAAGAUGGCAUUUAUUACACAGCACAUAUGCAAUAUAAUUCCUUUUUGAAAAUGCAUCUCAACUCUAUCAUACAUUACUAUUCUUCACUCAAACCAGUUUACAGGCACUUGUUUUGCCAGUUCUGUACAUCAAUUAUUUGUCUGGUUUUUCUUAAGUCCCAUCAAACACGCUUUUUUUUUUUUUUGGUUUGCUUGUUAGUACACCCACUGUCAGUUCAUUUGAGAGCUCUUUCUAGUACAUCUGUUGGUUGUAACUCCUAGAGCUAUACUGUAGAUUGAAACUUUAUUUCUAAAUAAGAAAAAAAAUGUUAGUUGAAAUUGUGGUUGGUCUAAAUUUUCUAGGUGUAGAGAGUGGAAGUACAAAGAGUAUGGCUCAUGCUGCGGAGUGCGUCGAAAGGGCAACUGGUGACAUGUUGAUUGGUCCAAACUGGGAAGUCAAUAUUGAGAUCUGUGACAUUAUUAAUAUGGAUCCAGGGAAAUGGUUUGUUUAUGUUUAAAGUGGCUAGGAGAUGUAUUGGUGUGAAUUUUCUUGGGCUGGAAAUAAAUAAGAAGGGAUGCAAUAUCUACGACGGUUGCUGUCAGCUAGAUAUUCAGUUCUCCAAGUAUGUACCUUUUGGAAUGCCAUUAUUUACUGCUUUCGGUUUUUGCACCUGACAUGGCUCUUUUUUUCUUCUGUUCACAAUCCAGCCUCAGUGAGUUACAGGUGAACUAUAAUAAAUGAGCGAUCUAGGUGCGCUGGUAGCUUCUCAUACAUUUAGCUUUCUGUGGCUUGAAAAUUUUAUACUUAAGGGGCCUUAUCGAUUGUCAGCUUAAUGCUACUGCUGUUGAGACUCACUUUUUGUUUGCAGGGAUUUCACAAAUCUGUCGUUGCCAUCUGAUCAGACAAGCAGAUCCUCUCUGGUAGUUUUGCACUGAAGAAGCAAAUGCUGGAUGACAGAAGAUUCUCCAAAAUGCAUCUGAAUUUGCAACGCCUCCUGCAGUUAUGUUGAGGAUGCAGGGGAUCCUUAUAGAGAUCAGAUGAAAGAUUGUAUCAGUUUAAUAAUGGAAGAAUUGAAAUCUAGAGGAAUUGCCAACAAUCACACUCUGGCAUACCAGGUAAUUCAUUUAAAAUUUCAGCUUUUGGUUUCUAGCUUUGAUUUCCAACUAUUAGAAAUUUUCAAUAAUCACUCAAACAUCAUGGUCGUCAUCAAAGUAGGUUUUUCUGAUUUCUACCUGAUCAGCUUUACAUUGGAUCAUUUUUAUUUUUAUUUUUUGUUAUUUAUACAAGUUCAGCUAGGAAUAAUUCUUUGACGAAUUAAAAGAUGAUCCUUGCAUGUUCUUGAUUUGGAUUUCUACUAACCAUUCCCUUAGU